GACGAACGCUGGCGGCGUGCUUAACACAUGCAAGUCGAACGGAAAGGCCCUGCUUUUGUGGGGUGCUCGAGUGGCGAACGGGUGAGUAACACGUGAGUAACCUGCCCUUGACUUUGGGAUAACUUCAGGAAACUGGGGCUAAUACCGGAUAGGAGCUCCUGCUGCAUGGUGGGGGUUGGAAAGUUUCGGCGGUUGGGGAUGGACUCGCGGCUUAUCAGCUUGUUGGUGGGGUAGUGGCUUACCAAGGCUUUGACGGGUAGCCGGCCUGAGAGGGUGACCGGCCGCAUGGGGAAGGAGAUACGCCCAGGACCCCGCGGGGGGGAAGAGGGGGGAAAUUGGGAAAAAGGGGGGGAGGCCGGAGGACGCACGCCCGGGGGGGGGAGGCGGGCUUUGGGGUGGUAACCCGUUUGCGCCGGGGAGGAAGGGGGGGUGAGGGUAGGGGAAAAAGAAGCCCGGGCAAACUAGGGC
rnacentral:rRNA from 1 species